rnacentral:rRNA from 1 species
UACGGGGGGUGCGAGCGUUGUCCGGAAUCACUGGGCGUAAAGGGCGCGUAGGUGGCGUGAUAAGGGUGUGGUGAAAGCCCGGGGCUCAACCCCGGGUCUGCCAUGCCGACUGUCAGGCUCGAGUGCUGUAGGGGCAGGCGGAAUUCCGGGUGUAGCGGUGGAAUGCGUAGAGAUCCGGAGGAAGACUGGUGGCGAAGGCGGCCUGCUGGGCAGUUACUGACACUGAGGCGCGACAGCGUGGGGAGCAAACAGG